UACGUAGGGUGCGAGCGUUGUCCGGAAUUACUGGGCGUAAAGAGCUCGUAGGUGGUUUGUCGCGUUGUCCGUGAAAACUCACAGCUCAACUGUGGGCGUGCGGGCGAUACGGGCAGACUGGAGUACUGCAGGGGAGACUGGAAUUCCUGGUGUAGCGGUGAAAUGCGCAGAUAUCAGGAGGAACACCGAUGGCGAAGGCAGGUCUCUGGGCCGAUACUGACGCUGAGGAGCGAAAGCGUGGGGAGCGAACAGG
rnacentral:rRNA from 1 species